CAUGACACCCAAGCGUGUCUGGA
rnacentral:miRNA from 1 species